UGGACCAAAGCCAGUUGACUAGGGUAUUUAGCUGUUAACUAAAUUUUUAUGGGUUUGAGUCCCAUUGGUCUAG
rnacentral:tRNA from 2 species